AAUCCAGUGCUUGCUUUAGACCUGUAAACAAGAAAUGAGAUGCAUGACUCAUGAUUCCGGAGUUCAAGUACUUUAUUCAACUUCUGUUAGACUUCAAUUCUGUGGUAACAGUAUACAAAGUUAUCUCGCUUUUGAAGGAAACAGAGAUAAUGAAACAUUAGCUGCAUACCGAUGUUGUAUGCCAUUGCGCUCGACAUUCUGCAUUAUUCUCUUCUCAAAACGAUCGUACUGCACAAUUAACGCUUCCAUUGUCUCUCGUAAUUAAAUAAUGUAUUCGUUAUUUCACAACAUCAAUGAUCACGCUAUUCGUCACCGACACGUAGCUGCACUUUUAAUGAGGAAAGUCAUGGGCUGGAAAGACAAGUCGGGUUCUCUUUCUGCUGCAUUUUUCGAAUGACGCGGCGGCUGACUACACGACGUGCCUGUCUAAAAUUGGAGAGCAACAAGUUCGCUGAAUCGUCUUCUUCGCACGUGUGCAGCGAGACCACACAGUAACCGACUCAGGACACGAGCAAGGACAGAAUAAAAACGCUCACUAGUAUGGAAAUAUACAGAGGAAAAUAAACAGGAUAUGAUAAUGCAGUAAUUAACAUCGCACUA